ensembl:lncRNA
UUCCUCGACCCAUAGAAUAAUAGUCUCUAUCUUGUAAAAUGUUUACAAGGACUUGAGACAUGAUGCAUAUGGCGUGUGUGGCACAAAACCUGGCACACAAGUGUGGCUCAAUAAAUGGUCACGAUGAUUCCCUCCACCUCCCCAGGCUAGUGUGACAGUCUCAUUGUAUUCCAUCAUAUCACACACAUCUCCUUCAGGGGUUUCCUCACACUUGCAAGUAAUAGAUUAAAAGCUUCUGGGCCGGGCGCAGUGGCUCAAGCCUGUAAUCCCAGCACUUUGGGAGGCCGAGACGGGCGGAUCACAAGGUCAGGAGAUCAAGACCAUCCUGGCUAACACAGUGAAACCCCGUCUCUACUAAAAAAUACAAAAAACUAGCCGGGUGAGGUGGCGGGCGCCUGUAGUCCCAGCUACUCGGGAGGCUGAGGCAGGAGAAUGGCAUAAACCUGGGAGGCAGAGCUUGCAGUGAGCUGAGAUCCGGCCGCUGCACUCCAGCCCGGGUGACAGAGCGAGACUCCGUCUCAAAAAAAAAAAAAAAAAAAAAAAGCUUCUGGACCCAGCCAGACCCUGUCACCCCUGCUAUUUCUGCAAACCCCUCUGAGACCACUUUUCCACAGCCUUCUCCUCUACUCAUCUCUCUAUCUGCAAGAUGUCGACCUCAAUGUGAGACUCAACUCCUUGAGCCUGUCACAAAUCAGGCAUGAGCAAUGCACUCUCUGCUAUAGAUUUCAUAAACAGGGGUGGGUCUACACCGUAGCCUCUCUUCUCAGGAACUGUGGUGAACAUAGUCAUCUUCGUCCAGUUACAGCCAUGGGUCUGUAACACCCCUUGAGGGACGCAGCAAUGUGCCCUGUUCACUGUUGCUUCCCCAACACCCAGGGCAAUAUCUGGCCCCCAAGAGGCAGAUCUGAAACACACAGUGAGUAAAUAAAUAAAUGACAGGGAAAGGCGCUUUUGAGCUGGGGGAGAAUCAUGUGGUUGUCCAGUGCCCUCAGCUGUCAGGUCAGUUGUGUGGCAAGGGGCCUGAUUUGGUCCCUACUUGCAGUCAGGAAGAGGCUGAUACUGAUGUGUGUCCAUUUCAGACCUCAGAAAUAACCACCUGCCCGAUACAGUCUUGGCCUUUUCAAAAGUCAUGUGCAUAUUAGCACUUGGGGAUCCUUCUUCACCCACAGGUCUGAUGCUUUCCCAUCAGCAACUGUCACCAAGGGUGACUAAGACACAGGACAGUGGUUCCCCAAACCAGCUGCACAUCAGAAGCCCCUGGGAAGCUUUGGAACACCAGAGCCACUUGGAGGUCAGGUUCCCCUGAGAUCCUGAUUCAAAUGGUCUGGUGUGGGGCCUGAUAGUUUUUUUUAUUUAAAAAUCAUAGCUGAUUCAAAAAUGUAUCACUGAGGGCCAGGCAUGGUGGCUCACGCCUAUAAUCCCAGCCCUUUGGGAGGCCGAGGCAGGAGGAUCACCUGAGGUCAGGGGUUUGAGACCAGCCUGGCCAACAUGGUGAAACCCUGUCUCUACUGAAAACACAAAAUUAGCUGGGCAUGGUGGCAUGUACCUGUAAUCCCAGCUACACAGGAGGCUGAGGCAGGAGAAUUGCUUGAACCCAGAAGGCGGAGGUUGCAGUAAGCCAAGAUUGUGCCAUUGCACUCCAGCCUGGAUGACAAAGCAAGAUUCCGUCUCAAAAAAAAAAAAAAAAAAAAAAA